rnacentral:rRNA from 1 species
GUAACACGUAGGUAAUCUACCAAACAAUCUGGAAUAACCGACCGAAAGGUUGGCUAAUACUGGAUAGAGCGACGGAAUCCGUAAUUGGGUUUUUCGGGAAAGGGAGCUCGCAAGAGCCUUCGUUGUUUGAUGAGCCUGCGUCUGAUUAGCUAGUUGGCGGGGUAAUGGCCCACCAAGGCGAUGAUCGGUAGCUGGUCUGAGAGGAUGAUCAGCCACACUGGAACUGAAACACGGUCCAGACUCCUACGGGAGGCAGCAGUGGGGAAUCUUGCGCAAUGGACGAAAGUCUGACGCAGCCACGCCGCGUGAGUGAAGAAGGCCUUCGGGUCGUAAAGCUCUGUCGGAGGGGACGAAAAGUCUCAUGGUUAAUAGCCAUGAGAUCUGACGGUACCCUCAAAGGAAGCACCGGCUAACUUCGUGCUAGCAGCCGCGGUAAUACGAGGGGUGCCAGCGUUGCUCGGAAUUAUUGGGCGUAAAGGGUAGGUAGGUGGUCUCGUUUGUCUGGGGUGAAAGCCUUGAGCUUAACUCAAGAAGUGCCCCAGAAACG